rnacentral:rRNA from 1 species
UAGCGACAGGCUUAACACAUGCAAGUCGAGGGGCAGCGGGGGUAGCAAUACCCGCCGGCGACCGGCGCACGGGUGAGUAACGCGUAUGCAACUUACCUAUCAGAGGGGGAUAACCCGGCGAAAGUCGGACUAAUACCGCAUGAAGCAGGGGCCCCGCAUGGGGAUAUUUGCUAAAGAUUCAUCGCUGAUAGAUAGGCAUGCGUUCCAUUAGGCAGUUGGCGGGGUAACGGCCCACCAAACCGACGAUGGAUAGGGGUUCUGAGAGGAAGGUCCCCCACAUUGGUACUGAGACACGGACCAAACUCCUACGGGAGGCAGCAGUGAGGAAUAUUGGUCAAUGGCCGAGAGGCUGAACCAGCCAAGUCGCGUGAGGGAUGAAGGUUCUAUGGAUCGUAAACCUCUUUUAUAAGGGAAUAAAGUGCGGGACGUGUCCCGUUUUGUAUGUACCUUAUGAAUAAGGAUCGGCUAACUCCGUGCCAGCAGCCGCGGUAAUACGGAGGAUCCGAGCGUUAUCCGGAUUUAUUGGGUUUAAAGGGUGCGUAGGCGGCCUUUUAAGUCAGCGGUGAAAGUCUGUGGCUCAACCAUAGAAUUGCCGUUGAAACUGGGGGGCUUGAGUAUGUUUGAGGCAGGCGGAAUGCGUGGUGUAGCGGUGAAAUGCAUAGAUAUCACGCAGAACCCCGAUUGCGAAGGCAGCCUGCCAAGCCAUUACUGACGCUGAUGCACGAAAGCGUGGGGAUCAAACAGGAUUAGAUACCCUGGUAGUCCACGCAGUAAACGAUGAUCACUAGCUGUUUGCGAUACACUGUAAGCGGCACAGCGAAAGCGUUAAGUGAUCCACCUGGGGAGUACGCCGGCAACGGUGAAACUCAAAGGAAUUGACGGGGGCCCGCACAAGCGGAGGAACAUGUGGUUUAAUUCGAUGAUACGCGAGGAACCUUACCCGGGUUUGAACGCAUUCGGACCGAGGUGGAAACACCUUUUCUAGCAAUAGCCGUUUGCGAGGUGCUGCAUGGUUGUCGUCAGCUCGUGCCGUGAGGUGUCGGCUUAAGUGCCAUAACGAGCGCAACCCUUGCCACUAGUUACUAACAGGUAAAGCUGAGGACUCUGGUGGGACUGCCAGCGUAAGCUGCGAGGAAGGCGGGGAUGACGUCAAAUCAGCACGGCCCUUACAUCCGGGGCGACACACGUGUUACAAUGGCGUGGACAAAGGGAGGCCACCUGGCGACAGGGAGCGAAUCCCCAAACCACGUCUCAGUUCGGAUCGGAGUCUGCAACCCGACUCCGUGAAGCUGGAUUCGCUAGUAAUCGCGCAUCAGCCAUGGCGCGGUGAAUACGUUCCCGGGCCUUGUACACACCGCCCGUCAAGCCAUGGGAGCCGGGGGUACCUGAAGUCCGUAACCGCGAGGAUCGGCCUAGGGUAAAACUGGUGACUGGGGCUAAGUCGU